GUGCUUCCAAUUUAAAAUGGCUUUGAUUAGUGGCCUGUUUAUGUAACAGAGAAAGUUUGAGACAAGAGUCCAAGAUUCACAAGAGUUUGUCACAAACUUACUUCAUUUAACACAUGCGCUCACAAAUCUAGCUCCUCUGUGACUCAUGAGCCUCUGAGUUCCUGAAGACCUGGUCAUCAUGGAUAAAAGAGCUGGAGAAGAUGUUGGAAAUACUGUUCCACUGAAUGCUGUAUUAUGGAAACAGACUCCACAGGGAGCAGAGACCCCAUCGAUCAGCUUUCCUGUUAAUCACAUGCUUUGUUGGUAAAAUAAACCCCCAAAUCUCACAAUGCUCCACUUGCUUUCUUCUUCUACCUGGCCUGUACAAGUCCUUCUUGUUCUCACAGAAGAAUGCUGUUGUCCCAUCAGAUUAAGCAGAAGAGAAACGGCAUAGUAGCGUGAGCCACAGUCCUGUCCCAUCCCG
ensembl:lncRNA